GCUUAACACAUGCAAGUCGAACGGAAAGGCCCUGCUUUUGUGGGGUGCUCGAGUGGCGAACGGGUGAGUAACACGUGAGUAACCUGCCCUUGACUUUGGGAUAACUUCAGGAAACUGGGGCUAAUACCGGAUAGGAGCUCCUGCUGCAUGGUGGGGGUUGGAAAGUUUCGGCGGUUGGGGAUGGACUCGCGGCUUAUCAGCUUGUUGGUGGGGUAGUGGCUUACCAAGGCUUUGACGGGUAGCCGGCCUGAGAGGGUGACCGGCCACAUUGGGACUGAGAUACGGCCCAGACUCCUACGGGAGGCAGCAGUGGGGAAUAUUGCACAAUGGGCGGAAGCCUGAUGCAGCAACGCCGCGUGCGGGAUGACGGCCUUCGGGUUGUAAACCGCUUUCGCCUGUGACGAAGCGUGAGUGACGGUAAUGGGUAAAGAAGCACCGGCUAACUACGUGCCAGCAGCCGCGGUGAUACGUAGGGUGCGAGCGUUGUCCGGAUUUAUUGGGCGUAAAGGGCUCGUAGGUGGUUGAUCGCGUCGGAAGUGUAAUCUUGGGGCUUAACCCUGAGCGUGCUUUCGAUACGGGUUGACUUGAGGAAGGUAGGGGAGAAUGGAAUUCCUGGUGGAGCGGUGGAAUGCGCAGAUAUCAGGAGGAACACCAGUGGCGAAGGCGGUUCUCUGGGCCUUUCCUGACGCUGAGGAGCGAAAGCGUGGGGAGCGAACAGGCUUAGAUACCCUGGUAGUCCACGCUGUAAACGGUGGGUACUAGGUGUGGGGUCCAUUCCACGGGUUCCGUGCCGUAGCUAACGCUUUAAGUACCCCGCCUGGGGAGUACGGCCGCAAGGCUAAAACUCAAAGGAAUUGACGGGGCCCCGCACAAGCGGCGGAGCAUGCGGAUUAAUUCGAUGCAACGCGUAGAACCUUACCUGGGUUUGACAUGGAUCGGGAGUGCUCAGAGAUGGGUGUGCCUCUUUUGGGGUCGGUUCACAGGUGGUGCAUGCCUGUCGUCAGCUCGUGUCGUGAGAUGUUGGGUUAAGUCCCGCAACGAGCGCAACCCUUGUUCACUGUUGCCAGCACGUUAUGGUGGGGACUCAGUGGAGACCGCCGGGGUCAACUCGGAGGAAGGUGGGGAUGACGUCAAGUCCUCAUGCCCCUUAUGUCCAGGGCUUCACGCAUGCUACAAUGGCUGGUACAGAGAGUGGCGAGCCUGUGAGGGUGAGCGAAUCUCGGAAAGCCGGUCUCAGUUCGGAUUGGGGUCUGCAACUCGACCUCAUGAAGUCGGAGUCGCUAGUAAUCGCAGAUCAGCAACGCUGCGGUGAAUACGUUCCCGGGGCUUGUACACACCGCCCGUCAAGUCAUGAAAGUUGGUAACACCCGAAGCCGGUGGCCUAACCGUUGUGGGGGAGCCGUCGAAGGUGGGACUGGUGAUUAGGACUAAGUC
rnacentral:rRNA from 1 species